AACGUUGUUCGUUUUGGUAUCUGAGAAAUUAAGUGAAGUGAAAUGAAAUGUACGACGACGAACUGACGGCACAAGGCGGCGGCAUGGGAUGGUAUGGUAUGGAAUAGUAUGAGAUGGCGAUGUCGAUGGGGUGCGGAGACGUAGCUGAGCGGGGCAUAAAAGCUAUGUGGAACGAACCGAGCAACCGAGCAAGCAACCAACCAGCCAACGAGCAAGCGGACGAGCGACAACAGCAAAGGCAAAGGCAAAGGCGACGGACGGCUGCAACUUGAAGCGUUCCAAGGGGCGUUUGAGAGGUGGGGGGAUGGCGGCGGGUGUUCUGGCGACGGAUGGAGGCUACGACUACCCGGGGUUCGGGCAAGUGGCUGUGGUAGUUAUGGCGCGCUCGAAGCGAACGAAAGGCAACGGCAACGAUGACAAAGACGUAGAUAAGGAACAGAAACAUGCACACACAGAUACACACCCAUACCGAGGCACGUACACUCUAAAUGUUGGAAUAUAAUAAAAUGAAAUAAGCAACGACGGCAACGGCGGCACUGCCAGGCAAGACGACCAGGCCAUUCGUACGAAUUCGAAUUCGCAUUUUAGCGAGGGGUUUUCUCGAGGGGGCAAGGCGGUACGGUACGGGCACGGGCACGGUACACCACUUGAGUUGCGAGACGAUGACGAGAAUAGCAAGCAAGCAAGCAAGCAAGCUGGCAAAACCAAAAGCAGGCGGGCAGAAGCAAAGCUAAAGGCCAGGCCGGAUAGAAUGCUUUGUCCAACGGGGCGUAGUGGGGUUAGAUUUUAGGGGAACGGACGGGCACAAACAACAAGCGGCCCACGUUUGUAGUCCGCAUCCGUAUCUGUGUGUGUGUGUGUGUGUGUGUGUGAGCCUGUGGUCGCGUAGAAAAAUUACUUGGAAAGAAAAACAAGCGCCUUGCGGAUACAACAACAAUGAAAUCAUUUAUAACGAAAAUAAUGCGAGGCAAACACAAAUAAAAAAAAAAAAGAUAAAAAUAUGGGGAAACACACCUCCUCCCACACCUCUGGCCCGGCCCCCUUGCCCCAUCAAAUCGCAAUCGAGCGCAGCUAAAUAAAGUUCAGCCAAGAUUUGCGCGCCAAAAGUGUUGAGAGUUCGAUUUUUGGGCACG
ensembl:ncRNA lncRNA:CR46036 long non-coding RNA:CR46036